UUUAGCGGCUGCCAUCCUUCAAUCC
rnacentral:piRNA from 1 species